rnacentral:rRNA from 1 species
AGAACGAACGCUGGCGGCAUGCCUAACACAUGCAAGUCGAACGGGACCUUCGGGUCUAGUGGCGCACGGGUGCGUAACGCGUGGGGAUCUGCCCUUAGGUACGGAAUAACUCAGGGAAACUUGAGCUAAUACCGUAUAAUGACUUCGGUCCAAAGAUUUAUCGCCUAGGGAUGAACCCGCGUAGGAUUAGCUUGUUGGUGAGGUAAAGGCUCACCAAGGCGACGAUCCUUAGCUGGUCUGAGAGGAUGAUCAGCCACACUGGGACUGAGACACGGCCCAGACUCCUACGGGAGGCAGCAGUGGGGAAUCUUGGACAAUGGGCGCAAGCCUGAUCCAGCCAUGCCGCGUGAGUGACGAAGGCCUUAGGGUUGUAAAGCUCUUUUGCCGGGGACGAUAAUGACGGUACCCGGAGAAUAAGUCCGGCUAACUUCGUGCCAGCAGCCGC